UACGUAGGGUGCAAGGCGUUGUCCGGAAUUAUUGGCGUAAAGAGCUCGUAGGCGGUUUGUCGCGUCUGCUAGGUGAAAUCUGGGGGCUCAACCCCAGCCUGCAGUGGGUACGGGCAGACUAGAGUGCCGGUAGGGGAGAUUGGAAUUCCUGGUGUAGCGGUGGAAUGCGCAGAUAGUCAGGAGGAACACCGGAUGGCGAAGGCAGAUCUCUGGGCCGUAACUGGACGCUGAGGAGCGAAAGCAUGGGGAGCGAACAGA
rnacentral:rRNA from 1 species